CCACAAAGUAGGCAGUGGUCUCGUUGAUUUGCUGUCCCCGCUCCUGGGCUUUUGCCCUCCUAAGGGCGGUGCAGAAAUGGGGAGAGCAUCCCUCUGCCCUGCACAGAGCAGGGGGGCAAGCUCUGCCAGGCUUGCCCUGUGGGAGAGCUGGCCCGGGAGGGGUGUGGGGGGUCUCCCUGCCAGGACAGGCCAGGGGCUGUGCAUUGUCUAAGGGGACUGGCAUUGCUCAGGGCUUUGAGGUUCCCGCCUUGUUUCUGGGAGCCCAGGGAAUGAAGAGGCAGGGGCAGGCGGUGCGCGUGCGCAGUGCCGCCCCUUGGCCCCGGGACGUGGGGAAGCCCUGCUCCUCCUGCAGGGGUCAGGCCGGCAGGGCGCAUGCGCGCCGCGUGCAAGGGAAGCCCGGCUGCCAGGGGGAGGCCCGCAGUGCGCAUGCUCCGUGGGAGCUGGGGGGAGCCCAGCUGGUGGCAUGGGGCAGGCUGCUGGGCUCUCCAUUAGCUUAGUCAGUGCUCUUGGCCUCUGCUGCCCAUGAGCAGAGAGGGGGUGUAGGAAGCAUGCACUGGAUUGCAUUUCCAUCCCCCCAGCCAGGCUGGCCUCAGCUAGGACCAAGAUCAAGGUAGUUGCAUGGCUGAGACUGGGCUGAUCUGCAGUGUCAAUGGUGGGGAUGAGCAAGGCUGCAACCCUGCUUCCCCCCAGACAGAGUAGAAGUUGAGGUCCAGGUCUGCGGGGCAAUGCCCGUGUCUGCUGCUGUCUAAGGGCUACACAGGCUCUGCUUGCAGGGACCCAGGGCUGGAGACUUGAGUCCAGCAAGUGAGAGAGAUGAAGGCUGAUUUGAAUAAGGUGGAUGCUUGCAUUGCAGAGCUAAGUAACCACAACUGGGCAGUUCCUGUUUUAGUGACUGCAAGGGGGGUUUUUGGUUGGCUGUUUUCUGUUUUUGUUUUUUUGCAUUUGAACUGAAUCCUGCAUCCUCUUGGGACCUUUAUGGAAACAGGUCUGCCAAGAGGUAGUUAGCAGACUUUGAACAGAGGACUCAGUUGUGUCCCGGCGUCUCUGUGAAGAUGUUUCCCUACUUAGAGCCCUGAUUUGAGCAACUGGCUUUGGAGCUGGGGGGGAGCUGGAUGCCCAUUUUGUGCCAUGCAGACAGGUCAGAAGGACUCAGUAGUGGCAGAAGCAUAAGUGAUGGCAAGACAAGUGGGUUGGGUUUUGCUUGUUUUCUCCCUUACUUCUUUGCUUCUCUCAUUUCUCGGAGUCUCCAACAAGCAGAGACUCCCCAUGCCUGAAGAAGGGUGACUGCUCCCAAAACCUUGCCAAGGACUUUUCCCCAACUACUCAGUUGGUCUAAUAAAGAUCUCACAUCUAUCCAAAGAUCCUUGUGUGCCUGGGAUUUUAAAAAGUAUUUGUUUGCCUACUAGCUUUUUCCCCCCCUCAUUGUCCAAGGGAGGCAUGUAGCAGCCUGGGGGAUUCUUACCUUGCUGCAGACGGCUGUAAAUAUCCAAUGAUCUUCUAUAAGGAGACUUAAAACUCUCCCUGGUCUAAGCUGUUGAGGUUUCUGUUGAGACUUACAAGUUUGGAGAGCAGGGGCCUGGCACCUCCCAGUGCUUAGCGCAUCAGAAAGUCUGCCCUACAAUGUCCACAGCUAUUGCAAAGGUCAGGUUUUAAUAUUGAGUCCUUAAGUUGAUUUUUUUUUUUUUUUUUUUAUUUUUUUUUUUUUUAUUUUUCCCCCAGUGCUAGCUGCAGUCUGACUUCAUUCAGUCUAACUCAGAUUAAGUCGGCUUUCACUGUUUGCCUUGAGGACACGCGAUAAGAAACUUGGAGCUUACAAACAGAGCUCAGAAAAAUGCUUUGUUUUUUGUUCCUUUGAAGUAGAAGUUGCUUCUGCCUUGGCGUGGGUUGGACGGUUUUUGUUCCCUGCUGCAUGGGACUUGGAAAGGGAGAGACCUCCCGUGCCGACACGCUUUGCCAGUAAGGUCCAAGGUUGGCUGUUACCUGCCCGUGUCGAUGGUUGAGCUCUGUCUGUGUUGCUGAAACCUGCUGUAACAUUCUCUUCUUUUGGAUCAAGUAACGUUGGUCAUCUAGUGGGAACGCAAGCUUAAUUGCAUGUAGCAUGAUCGCACGGUGCUUUGUGCACCGACUGCCGUCAGAGGGUUCCUAGACUCUGGGUUUACCGAGAUCUACGACGGGAGACGGCUUUAAACCCUAUUUAUUGACUUCCUCCUGUAGGUCUUCUUGAUAGCUGAUGGCAACACUAUAUUCCUUAAUGGACAGAUGCCUUGGACAGCUUUCCUUGUGCAAAAGAUGCAUCCUCCUAAAUGAGUCUGUUAAAAGGUUGAGCCUCAGCCUUUUGAGGAUCCUCGUUCCCUCAAGACACAAUUCCACAGUAAUUUUAGCUUAGAAAUCCCAUUUUGCUGAUUGAAGAUAGUCCAGUCAUUUUUUUUCUCCUUUCCUUCCAUCCCAUUUAUCUUGCCUCAAAUUACACGUUGGAGGGUGUAAGCAGGCAGCAAAGCUUCGAAGAAGGUACUUAACGAUCGUGCAAGCUGACUUGGGGGUUAAAUAGAUCUACGGAGCAGUCUUUUACAAUGACCAGGCUAAGCCACCUGCUUUCAGGGACACUGGACUUUUUUUUUUCUCAGUGAGUUGAAUGUUUUUGUCUCCUUUGCUACGUUGAUACACGUGCACUAUGAGUCUUGUAUAGCGUUGCGUUAUCCUGCAUGGCAAGGGAAGCAAACAGACCGAACACUUGUGUAAUCCCUGCUUUUAUUAACUUGUCUGAUCUGCUAAACUGGCAUAUCAGUUGGCUCAGAGAAGUCCCCCCCGCACCACGUCCACGAUCCUUGGAGAAUUGCUAAACUUCAGACUGUAUCUUGUGACUGAUUUAUACCUGAAGGAGAGCCAGUCACCAAAAAAAGUACUCUGGGAUGCCAGACUAAGCUGGUAUGGUUAUCCUGGCUUGUUUUCCUUUCUGCAAAGAAAUCCUCGAAGAAUGUUUCAAUAAAUCUCCAGGAUCUUUAUCAUAAUGCCGCCGGCUGCAGUUAGUACUGCGUCUUAUAUUAAAAAUGCGCAGACAGGACUUUUAUAGCCCUGCUUCUAAGGUAUCUGCCACGAGUCCUCUGGCGUGUCUGGAGUCGAGCAUCUCUCUGACAAAACGCUGGGUGACAUCAUUGCUAUAUGCGGUCCUUGCCGUCCGUCGACUGAAAUGGCUCAUCCUAUGGGAAGCAGCUGCCAGAAAGCGGCAAGCGUGUCUGUUGCUCCAUUUGCUGAUCCUUUAGCUGAAACGUGACCUGGUAGGAGCAAAACCAGUUGCACCAGUAGAGAUGCUUGCCUCCAUAAGCGUUUUCUGUCGCUUAAGACAGCUACUUGGCUAGAACAAGAGGUGCAGCAUAGGUGGUCGUUGGUGCUACGAG